rnacentral:rRNA from 1 species
GGGUUCUACCGUUGGUCGGGCUAUAGUCUGUACUGGCGUGUGGAAUUUCUACCUUCUGGGGAACUAUCAUGUUAUUAAUUUAGCGUGGUAGGAAACCAGAACCUUUACCUUGAAAAAAUUAGAGUGUUUAAAGCAAGCGUACGCUUGAAUACAUUAGCAUGGAAUAAUGAAAUAGGGCUU